rnacentral:rRNA from 1 species
AUUGAACGCUGGCGGCAUGCUUUACACAUGCAAGUCGAACGGUAACAGGGAGCUUGCUCCGCUGACGAGUGGCGAACGGGUGAGUAAUGCGUCGGAACGUGCCGGGUAGUGGGGGAUAACGCAUCGAAAGGUGUGCUAAUACCGCAUACGUACUGAGGUAGAAAGUGGGGGACCUUCGGGCCUCACGCUAUUCGAGCGGCCGACGUCUGAUUAGCUAGUUGGUGAGGUAAAGGCUCACCAAGGCGACGAUCAGUAGCGGGUCUGAGAGGAUGAUCCGCCACACUGGGACUGAGACACGGCCCAGACUCCUACGGGAGGCAGCAGUGGGGAAUUUUGGACAAUGGGCGCAAGCCUGAUCCAGCCAUGCCGCGUGUCUGAAGAAGGCCUUCGGGUUGUAAAGGACUUUUGUCCGGGAGCAAAUACCCAGUGCUAAUAACGCUGGGGGCUGAGAGUACCGGAAGAAUAAGCACCGGCUAACUACGUGCCAGCAGCCGCCGCCGUAA